UGGGGAAUUUUGCACAAUGGGGGGAACCUUGAUGCAGCGACGCCGCGUGAGGGAUGGAGGCCUUCGGGUUGUGAACCUCUUUCGCUCGUGUGCAAGCCGCUAUUUGGGUAGUGGUGAGUGUAGCGGGUAAAGAAGCGCCGGCUAACUACGUGCCAGCAGCCGCGGUAAUACGUAGGGCGCGAGCGUUGUCCGGAUUUAUUGGGCGUAAAGGGCUUGUAGGUGGCUGGUUGCGUCUGUCGUGAAAGCUCAUGGCUUAACUGUGGGUUUGCGGUGGGUACGGGCUGGCUUGAGUGCAGUAGGGGAGGCUGGAAUUCCUGGUGUAGCGGUGGAAUGCGCAGAUAUCAGGAGGAAUACCGGUGGCGAAGGCGGGUCUCUGGGCUGUUACUGACGCUGAGGAGCGAAAGCGUGGGGAGCGAACAGG
rnacentral:rRNA from 1 species